rnacentral:misc_RNA from 1 species
GAUGAAGAACGUAGCGAAAUGCGAUAAGUAAUGUGAAUUGCAGAAUUCAGUGAAUCAUCGAAUCUUUGAACGCUCAUUGCGCCCUCCGGCAUUCCGGGGGGCAUGCCUGUCCGAGCGUCACGAAAACCCCAUCACACUCGUUGUGGUCAUGGCUGCAGUGAGUCGUCUCCAGCGGAGAGGGUCACGCCGCUGAAAGGAAUGGUGCGGAUGAGUUCCGAUGGCCGAACGUAGUACUUGACAACCGUCGGCCGAUGCGACCCUCCAUCUCGCCCUGACGACGUACCCCCGUCGUACCCCCGAUCAGGUGGACCUCGGAUCAGGUAGGGAUACCCGCUGAACUUAAGCAUAUCAAUAAGCGGAGGA